rnacentral:rRNA from 1 species
AACUAACGCUGGCGGCGUGCCUAACACAUGCAAGUCGAACGAGAAAGUUGGCUUCGGCCGAUGAGUAAAGUGGCGCACGGGUGAGUAACGCGUGGAUAAUCUGCCCUUUAGUUUGGAAUAACGUACCGAAAGGUGCGCUAAUACCGGAUAAUACUGAAUGACUACUGUCGUUUAGUCAAAGAAGGCUUCUGUUUACAUGCUUUUGCUGAAGGAUGAGUCCGCGUACCAUUAGCUAGUUGGUAGGGUAAUGGCCUACCAAGGCGACGAUGGUUAGCUGGUCUGAGAGGAUGAUCAGCCACACUGGAACUGAGACACGGUCCAGACUCCUACGGGAGGCAGCAGUGAGGAAUAUUGCGCAAUGGGGGCAACCCUGACACAGCAACGCCGCGUGAGUGAGGAAGGUUUUCGGACCGUAAAGCUCUGUCGAGCGGGAAGAAGGACUUGACGGUACCGUACGAGGAAGCCCCGGAAACUACGUGCCAGCAGCCGCGGUAAACUGU